UACGGAGGGGGCUAGCGUUGUUCGGAAUUACUGGGCGUAAAGCGCACGUAGGCGGAUCAGUAAGUUAGAGGUGAAAGCCCGGGGCUCAACUCCGGAACUGCCUUUAAGACUGCAUCGCUUGAAUCCAGGAGAGGUGAGUGGAAUUCCGAGUGUAGAGGUGAAAUUCGUAGAUAUUCGGAAGAACACCAGUGGCGAAGGCGGCUCACUGGACUGGUAUUGACGCUGAGGUGCGAAAGCGUGGGGAGCAAACAGG
rnacentral:rRNA from 1 species